UACGUAGGGCGCGAGCGUUGUCCGGAUUUAUUGGGCGUAAAGAGCGUGUAGGCGGCCAGGUAGGUCCGUUGUGAAAACUCGAGGCUUAACCUCGAGCUGUCGGCGGAAACCAUCUGGCUAGAGUCCGGAAGAGGAGAAUGGAAUUCCCGGUGUAGCGGUGAAAUGCGCAGAUAUCGGGAAGAACACCCGUGGCGAAGGCGGUUCUCUGGGACGGUACUGACGCUGAGACGCGAAAGCGUGGGGAGCGAACAGG
rnacentral:rRNA from 1 species